UACAGAGGGUGCAAGCGUUAAUCGGAGUUACUGGGCGUAAAGGGCGCGUAGGUUGGUAUUUAAGUCGGAUGUGAAAUCCUUGGGCUUAACCUGAGAAUUGCAUUCGAUACUGGAUAUCUCGAGUAUGGUAGAGGAAAGCGGAAUUCCCGGUGUAGCGGUGAAAUGCGUAGAUAUCGGGAAGAACAUCAGGGCGAAGGCGGCUUUCUGGACCAAUACUGACACUGAGGCGCGAGAGCGUGGGGAGCAAACAGGAUUAGAUACCCCCGUA
rnacentral:rRNA from 1 species